GACGAACCGAGCGAACGUUAUUCGGAAUCACUGGGCUUAAAGGGUGCGUAGGCGGGCUGUCAAGUCUGGGGUGAAAUCCGGCAGCUUAACUGUCGAACUGCCUUAGAUACUGAUGGCCUCGAGGAAGGUAGGGGCAUGCGGAACUGUAGGUGGAGCGGUGAAGUGCGUAGAGAUCGGCAGGAACACCCAGGGGGAAACCAGCUGGCUGGGCAUGUGCUGACGCUCAGGUGCGAAAGCGUGGGGAGCAAACAGG
rnacentral:rRNA from 1 species